UACGAGGGGGGCGAGCGUUGUUCGGAAUUAUUGGGCGUAAAGGGUGCGUAGACGGUUUGGUAAGUCUUAUGUGAAAUCUACAGGCUCAACUUGUAGUCUGCAUGAGAAACUGCCGGGCUUGAGUAUGGGAGAGGUGAGUGGAAUUCCUGGUGUAGCGGUGAAAUGCGUAGAUAUCAGGAGGAACACCUGUGGCGAAAGCGGCUCACUGGACCAUAACUGACGCUGAUGCACGAAAGCUAGGGGAGCAAACAGG
rnacentral:rRNA from 1 species